GAGUGGCGAACGGGUGAGUAACACGUGGGUAACCUGCCCAUCAGAAGGGGAUAACACUUGGAAACAGGUGCUAAUACCGUAUAACACUAUUUUCCGCAUGGAAGAAAGUUGAAAGGCGCUUUUGCGUCACUGAUGGAUGGACCCGCGGUGCAUUAGCUAGUUGGUGAGGUAACGGCUCACCAAGGCCACGAUGCAUAGCCGACCUGAGAGGGUGAUCGGCCACACUGGGACUGAGACACGGCCCAGACUCCUACGGGAGGCAGCAGUAGGGAAUCUUCGGCAAUGGACGAAAGUCUGACCGAGCAACGCCGCGUGAGUGAAGAAGGUUUUCGGAUCGUAAAACUCUGUUGUUAGAGAAGAACAAGGAUGAGAGUAGAACGUUCAUCCCUUGACGGUAUCUAACCAGAAAGCCACGGCUAACUACGUGCCAGCAGCCGCGGUAAUACGUAGGUGGCAAGCGUUGUCCGGAUUUAUUGGGCGUAAAGCGAGCGCAGGCGGUUUCUUAAGUCUGAUGUGAAAGCCCCCGGCUCAACCGGGGAGGGUCAUUGGAAACUGGGAGACUUGAGUGCAGAAGAGGAGAGUGGAAUUCCAUGUGUAGCGGUGAAAUGCGUAGAUAUAUGGAGGAACACCAGUGGCGAAGGCGGCUCUCUGGUCUGUAACUGACGCUGAGGCUCGAAAGCGUGGGGAGCGAACAGGAUUAGAUACCCUGGUAGUCCACGCCGUAAACGAUGAGUGCUAAGUGUUGGAGGGUUUCCGCCCUUCA
rnacentral:rRNA from 1 species